AUCAAAACUAAUAGGGGAAGCCACCUUCUACUGAAAUCCUAUCAUUUGCAACAGUUGGGUUCUUAUAUGUAAGAAGAACACGCAAAAAGAUCAUACCAUUAAGAAACAUAUGCUUAGCCAGUUGACAAUUCCUCCUCUGGAGCACAAUUAGAUGUAGAAGGUUGUGUAUCGUUUCAAAAUCCUCAUCAUAAGGAAACAGGAAUACUAGUCCAGACAAUGAAAUGUUUCUUUUUACUGUAUUUCGAGAGGGAGGGAAGGGCAUGCUACUCCACAACUACAUUGGAAUAGAAGGAAAAGCAACAAGAUCCUCAAAUCCUCACGAUUUGUAGAAUUCAAAGGUGCUUUUAGAUUAGGCCACAGAUUUGAUUAAAAAUCUGUAGAAGUGGAAAUCUUAAAAGCACAGCAUUUAUCAAGAAUUUUGGCAAUGAAGAUGAAAUACAAAGCUUAAAGAGUGUUGAAAAUAAGAAGUCUGUAAACAUGGAUGUCCAAUACGGGGCAAAACUCAUGGCUCAACUUUAAUUCAGUCCUAUGCUUUCUGGAAAAUACUAUGCUGAGUUCCACAAGUCUAGCUUAGCUUAUAAUGCAUCUGGCAUAAUAUCACAAGGGGGAAAAUAGAAAAUUAAACACGAAAGAUAGAGUGAAAAACAGUUUGCUGAAAAUAUGUGCAUGAUCGAACUGAAUACCCACCAGUUGCUUUAUUUGCCAAGAAGAUAAGGCCUGCACAUGUACCCCACACUGGAUUUCCCAUUUUAACAAAUUCACGCAAAGCAGGGAACUACAAUUAGAAACCAAAUAAGUAACAUGGUAAUAUGCAAUCGCAACCAGAAUAACAAGGGGUAAUUGCAAUUAAUUGCCGCCAAAAGAUUAUAAGUUUAAUCCAAUAACAUGACAAAUAACAAGGACAGUGCACACAAAGACAUGGCCUAGUGCUCAAAGAAGCUAGAAGAGACCAAGGUUCAGAUCCCAGCAGAGGCAAAAAGCAAUGAGUGAUUUCUUCCUGUCUGUUUAAGCUUUGAUGCAUAGAGUAACCUGGUACUUAUGUUGGUAGGAGGUAGCCGGUACCUAGUGGAUUAGCCCAUGAUCGAUAGAAUGAUAAUUUAUGUUGUAACAACAAUUAGAAAAAAAGGAGAUGAUUUGCGGGCAGCCAAUUCUACCAUUGAGCGGUUCAAACACCAGAUUCAAUUUUGCAUAUAUUUUAUGCUUUGUUCCCAAUAUGUUCUAGAAUGCACCACAAUCGAAUUAAUCAAUCAACUUCAAUCGAUGCCAAUUUGGGUUUGGCUAUAAAUACUAUGCAUCCACUCGAGUCUAAUCAGGGCAUCCAUGUAACAUGUCCUUACAAGGACACUCCUACUAGUUACCAUCAACCUACCUCAAUUCUCCUCAUUUAUUCAGGUCUUGGAUUGUAUAUGCUAGGCCAAGGACUACGGGGGUGUUUGGCCUUGAAAAGUUUUCACUUUUUUCUGGUGUUACAACUCUAGAAAACACGUUUGGCCAUAAAAUUUCAUAAAAUCCCGGAAUUCACUCCAAAUUAUUCACAAAAAUGCAGAAACAACUCCAAUUUGUAUUCAUGUCCAAACACAACUCCAAUUUUCAAAUAUCAUUUUACUCUUUGAAAAUAAAAGCUACUACUUUUUUGAAAUUUCAAAAUGAAACAUCAUGGCUAAUCGCCCACUAAAUGCUCGAAAAUUAAAUAAACAACAACAAUCAUUUGUUUCUUUUCUUGAGGGGUUUCAAUAAAAUUCUAUAGGCCUAAUAAGACAUAAGCAGUCACGGGUUCAAGCCUUGGAAACAGCCUCUGGCAGAAAUGCAAGAUAAGGUUGUGUACGAUACACCCUUGUGGUGGGGCCCUUCCUCGGACACCGCGCAUAGUGGUAGCUUUAGUUUGGAGGGGAGCCUUGGAGUAACUGGUAAAGUUGCUGCCAUGUGACCAGGAGGCCACGGGUUCAAGCCUUAGAAACAGCCUCUGGCAGAAAUGCAAGAUAAGGUUGUGUACGAUACACCCUUGUGGUGGGGCCCUUCCCUAUAUACCGCGCAUAGCGGUAGCUUUAGUUUGAAGGGGAGCCUUGGAGUAACUGGUAAAGUUGCUGCCAUGUGACCAGGAGGUCACGGGUUCUAGCCUUGGAAACAGCCUCUGGCAGAAAUACAAGAUAAGGCUGCGUACGAUACACCCUUGUGGUGGGGCCCUUCCCCGAACACCGCACAUAGCAGUAGCUUUAGUUUGAAGGGAGCCUUGGAGUAACUGGUAAAGUUGCUGCCAUGUGACUAGGAGGUCACGGCCCUCAUGGGUUCAAGCUUUAGAAACAGCCUCUGGCAGAAAUGCAAGGUAAAGGCUGCGUACGAUACACCCUUAUGGUAGGCCCUUCCCCGGACGCCUAGCUUUAGUGCACCGGGCUGCCCUCUUUUUUCUAGGCUUAACAAGACAUGAUUCCACAAAAAUUGUAUAGGCUUAAUAAGGCAUGAUUUCACACAAUAGUAAAGACAUCAG
rnacentral:lncRNA from 1 species